rnacentral:rRNA from 1 species
AUUGAACGCUGGCGGCAGGCCUAACACAUGCAAGUCGAGCGGAUGAAGGGAGCUUGCUCCUGGAUUCAGCGGCGGACGGGUGAGUAAUGCCUAGGAAUCUGCCUGGUAGUGGGGGAUAACGUCCGGAAACGGGCGCUAAUACCGCAUACGUCCUGAGGGAGAAAGUGGGGGAUCUUCGGACCUCACGCUAUCAGAUGAGCCUAGGUCGGAUUAGCUAGUUGGUGGGGUAAAGGCCUACCAAGGCGACGAUCCGUAACUGGUCUGAGAGGAUGAUCAGUCACACUGGAACGGAGACACGGUCCAGACUCCUACGGGAGGCAGCAGUGGGGAAUAUUGGACAAUGGGCGAAAGCCUGAUCCAGCCAUGCCGCGUGUGUUAAGAAGGUCUUCGGAUUGUAAAGCACUUUAAGUUGGGAGGAAGGGCAGUAAGUUAAUACCUUGCUGUUUUGACGUUACCAACAGAAUAAGCACCGGCUAACUUCGUG